GGAAAUAUAGCAAAGAUGGACUAUGCGUUCGGCUGAAACCCGAAAGAUAUUGGAUCGUUACCAAUUGUUUCCAC
rnacentral:tRNA from 1 species